rnacentral:tRNA from 5 species
GGAGAGGUGGCUGAGUGGUUGAAAGCUUCAGAUUGCUAAUCUGAUGUACGCUUCAUCGUGUACCGUGGGUUCGAAUCCCAUCCUCUCCU